rnacentral:rRNA from 1 species
CAAUAGCGUAUAUUAAUGUUGUUGCAGUUAAAAAGCUCGUAGUUGGAUUUCUGGUGGGAACGCCGGUCCGGCUCCGCAAGGGGUCGUGAAUUGGUUUCUCCUGCCAUCCUCAGGGGGAGCUGCGCUGGUAUUCAUUUAUCGGUGUAGUCACGCCUGUCGUUUACUGUGAACAAAUUAGAGUGUUCAAAGCAAGGUGUACUUGAAUACAUUAGCAUGGAAUAAUAAGAUAGGACUUUGGUGGUUCUUUUUUGAUAUUUUGUUGGUUUGCACGCCAAAGUAAUGAUUAAUAGGAGCAGUUGGGGGUAUUCGUAUUCAAUUGUCAGAGGUGAAAUUCUUGGAUUUAUAGAAGACGAACUACUGCGAAAGCAUUUACCAAGGAUGUUUUCAUUA